rnacentral:rRNA from 1 species
AGUGAACGCUGGCGGUAGGCCUAACACAUGCAAGUCGAACGGCAGCACAGUAAGAGCUUGCUCUUACGGGUGGCGAGUGGCGGACGGGUGAGGAAUACAUCGGAAUCUACUUUUUCGUGGGGGAUAACGUAGGGAAACUUACGCUAAUACCGCAUACGACCUACGGGUGAAAGCAGGGGAUCUUCGGACCUUGCGCGAUUGAAUGAGCCGAUGUCGGAUUAGCUAGUUGGCGGGGUAAAGGCCCACCAAGGCGACGAUCCGUAGCUGGUCUGAGAGGAUGAUCAGCCACACUGGAACUGAGACACGGUCCAGACUCCUACGGGAGGCAGCAGUGGGGAAUAUUGGACAAUGGGCGCAAGCCUGAUCCAGCCAUACCGCGUGGGUGAAGAAGGCCUUCGGGUUGUAAAGCCCUUUUGUAGGGAAAGAAAAGCAGCAGGUUAAUAACCCGCUGUUCUGACGGUACCCAAAGAAUAAGCACCGGCUAACUUCGUG